GACGGAGGAUGCAAGUGUUAUCCGGAAUCACUGGGCGUAAAGCGUCUGUAGGUGGUUCAAUAAGUCAACUGUUAAAUCUUGAGGCUCAACUUCAAAAUCGCAGUCGAAACUAUUGGACUCGAGUAUAGUAGGGGUAAAGGGAAUUUCCAGUGGAGCGGUGAAAUGCGUAGAGAUUGGAAAGAACACCAAUGGCGAAAGCACUUUACUGGGCUAUUACUGACACUGAGAGACGAAAGCUAGGGUAGCAAAUGGGG
rnacentral:rRNA from 1 species